rnacentral:rRNA from 1 species
UACGGGGGGAGCAAGCGUUGUUCGGAUUUACUGGGCGUAAAGGGCGCGUAGGCGGCCAGCACAAGUCAGUUGUGAAAUCUCCGAGCUUAACUCGGAAAGGUCAACUGAUACUGUGCGGCUAGAGUGCGGAAGGGGCAACUGGAAUUCUUGGUGUAGCGGUGAAAUGCGUAGAUAUCGAGAGGAACACCUGCGGCGAAGGCGGGUUGCUGGGCUGACACUGACGCUGAUGCGCGAAAGCUAGGGGAGCGAACGGG